rnacentral:rRNA from 1 species
AACGUACGCUGGCGGCACGCCUAACACAUGCAAGUCGAACGAAGUAGUAAUACUUAGUGGCAGACGGGUGAGUAACAUGUAGGUAUCUGCCCUUUGGCCUGGAAUAACACGAGGAAACUUGUGCUAAUACCGGAUAAGUCUUUACGGAGAAAGCUUUAUGCACCAUUGGAUGAGCCUGCACUUGAUUAGUUUGUUGGUGGGGUAAUGGCCUACCAAGACUGUGAUCAAUAGCUGAUUUGAGAGGAUGAUCAGCCACAUUGGGACUGAGACACGGCCCAAACUCCUACGGGAGGCAGCAGUGGGGAAUCUUGCACAAUGGAGGAAACUCUGAUGCAGCGAUGCCGCGUGAGUGAAGAAGGCCCUUGGGUUGUAAAGCUCUUUCGUCGGGGAAGAAAGUGACUGUACCCGAAUAAGAAGGUCCGGCUAACUUCGUGCCAGCAGCCGCGGUAAUACGAAGGGACCUAGCGUAGUUCGGAAUUACUGGGCUUAAAGAGUUCGUAGGUGGUUGAAAAAGUUAGUGGUGAAAUCCCAGAGCUUAACUCUGGAACUGCCAUUAAAACUUUUCAGCUAGAGUAUGAUAGAGGAAAGCAGAAUUUCUAGUGUAGAGGUGGAAUUCGUAGAUAUUAGAAAGAAUACCAAUUGCGAAGGCAGCUUUCUGGAUCAUUACUGACACUGAGGAACGAAAGCAUGGGUAGCGAAGAGGAUUAGAUACCCUCGUAGUCCAUGCCGUAAACGAUGUGUGUUAGACGUUGGAAAUUUAUUUUCAGUGUCGCAGGGAAACCGAUAAACACACCGCCUGGGGAGUACGACCGCAAGGUUAAAACUCAAAUGAAUUGACGGGGACCCGCACAAGUAGUGGAGCAUGUGGUUUAAUUCGAAGAUACGCGCAGAACCUUACCAACACCUGACAUGUUCGUCGCGACUCUAAGAGAUUAGAGUUUUCGGUUCGGCCGGACGAAACACAGGUGCUGCAUGGCUGUCGUCAGCUCGUGUCGUGAGAUGUUGGGUUAAGUCCCGCAACGAGCGCAACCCUCACUUUUAGUUGCCAUCAUUAAGUUGGGCACUCUGAAAGAACUGCCAGUGAUAAGCUGGAGGAAGGUGGGGAUGACGUCAAGUCCUCAUGGCCCUUACGUGUUGGGCUACACACGUGCUACAAUGGUAUCUACAACAGGAAGCAAGACUGCGAAGUUAAGCAAAUCCCUAAAAGAUACCUCAGUUCGGAUUGCACUCUGCAACUCGAGUGCAUGAAGCUGGAAUUACUAGUAAUCGUGGAUCAGCGUGCCACGGUGAAUGCGUUCCCGGGUCU